rnacentral:rRNA from 1 species
GCUCAUCACAUCCUGGGGCUGAAGUAGGUCCCAAGGGUAUGGCUGUUCGCCAUUUAAAGUGGUACGCGAGCUGGGUUUAGAACGUCGUGAGACAGUUCGGUCCCUAUCUGCCGUGGGCGCUGGAGAAUUGAGGGGGGCUGCUCCUAGUACGAGAGGACCGGAGUGGACGCAUCACUGGUGUUCGGGUUGUCAUGCCAAUGGCACUGCCCGGUAGCUAAAUGCGGAAGAGAUAAGUGCUGAAAGCAUCUAAGCACGAAACUUGCCCCGAGAUGAGUUCUCCCUGACUCCUUGAGAGUCCUGAAGGAACGUUGAAGACGACGACGUUGAUAGGCCGGGUGUGUAAGCGCAGCGAUGCGUUGAGCUAACCGGUACUAAUGAACCGUGAGGCUUAACCUUACAACGCCGAAG